rnacentral:tRNA from 1 species
GAAGGUAUAGCUCAGUGGUAGAGUGUGUGCCUAGCACGCACGAGGUCCUGGGUUCAAUUCCAAGUACCUCCA